rnacentral:rRNA from 1 species
GACGAACGCUGGCGGCGUGCUUAACACAUGCAAGUCGAACGGAAAGGCCCUGCUUGCAGGGUACUCGAGUGGCGAACGGGUGAGUAACACGUGGGUGAUCUGCCCUGCACUUCGGGAUAAGCCUGGGAAACUGGGUCUAAUACCGGAUAGGAGCCAUUUUUAGUGUGAUGGUUGGAAAGUUUUUUCGGUGUAGGAUGAGCUCGCGGCCUAUCAGCUUGUUGGUGGGGUAAUGGCCUACCAAGGCGGCGACGGGUAGCCGGCCUGAGAGGGUGGACGGCCACAUUGGGACUGAGAUACGGCCCAGACGCCUACGGGAGGCAGCAGGGGGGAAUAUUGCACAAGGGGCGCAAGCCUGAUGCAGCGACGCCGCGGGGGGGAUGACGGCCUUCGGGUUGUAAACUCCUUUCGCUAGGGACGAAGCUUUUUGUGACGGUACCUAGAUAAGAAGCACCGGCUAACUACGUG